GCUGUUUAGUAUGACCGAGCUAAAGAGGUGUAGUGAGCCAGCGCCACCAUGUGACGAGCGCGCGGAGCGAACUUUGACACGAAUUACCCUUUGACACGAAUCGACACGACAACCUACCCGAUUUGUUUACGUCCUAUUUUCUAGCUACCUUAGCUGACAUUUCUGAAUAUUUUGCCAUUCCUAACAGUAACAAUGGGUUCUGCCAGUCAUGCUAGUCAAAGCGAGAGGAUGAUGAAGAGAAUAAGAAAAGACAAAAGCUGGAGGCGGACCAGCGUGGUGUUCGGAUGAGGGGGUCACUGAGUGCAUUAUUAUAUAUGCAUAGUUAUGAGGCAGGUCAUCACGUCACUACCAGUCAUCAAACUCCUCUGGGAACAUGGCAAGGAACUCAAGUAGAUGACAAGGAAAAGGAAGAGCUAAAAGAUGAGGUUUUUAAAAGGCUGUCAGAUGAAGUGAAUGUACUGAAUUAAGACACAAGAAAAGCAACACACCUGGUCUACAGGUAACAUAAAAGAAAAUGACAGAAACACUAAAUUUUACACUGGCCUACCAAACUGGGUCACAUUUGUAUGGCUGUUUAAGCUGUUGUUACCAUUCACUCAAAGGAUGAGAUAUAAUGGGUCUGGGUAUAAUGGUAUAUAAUGGGUAUAAAGAAACCGAUGGAGUUAGAAGACUCAUGGCAUUCCAUCUUCAAAAUCAACCUAUGGCCACUUUAAUGAGACUGAAGGUUGAAUUGCUUUUCACAGACCUCUCAGACCGUUUUAACAUGUCUGUGUCUCAUGAUACAUGUAUGUCACGUAUAGUCGCCACCUGGAUCUUUCUAAUGGAAAUGUGGUGAUGUCUCACAUUUGUUUUUAAUGAAUAAAUGAUAAUUUAUGAAAAUGGUAAAGUAAACAAAUAUACAGGUCCUACAGUUUCUGUGCAUUCAUACAGACAUGAACAUGUAUUUCUUGCCAUCGAAUUUGCAUAAUACGAUAAACUACACUGAGAUGUUCACUGUUUUAGGGUACAUGUCUAUGGCCUUUUAUAAAUUGCUUCUGAUAAAAAAAAUAUGACUUAAUGAACCUUAAAUACAUAAAUAUAUCAAAAUAUUAUAUGAUGUACAGAUCUGGCCUAGCAGUUCAUGUAGCAUAAAAGCUGGUCUGGCAAUAAAUAUUUCAUUAAUCCAUCACCUCUGUUAAUUCUUUGAAAAAAAUAAAUCAUGUUCUGUAAAAUCAACAAAAUCACAAUAUGUGUAGUUUGAAAAUUUAAUAUGUAUCUGAUGUGGUUGAAUAAACUCUGAAAUUCCUACAACA